rnacentral:rRNA from 1 species
UGCGUAGGCUGUGCAGAAAGUUAGGUGUGAAAUCCCCCGGCUCAACCGGGGAAUUGCGCUUAAAACUACUGUGCUAGAGGAAGACAGAGGUGAGCGGAACUUCGGGUGGAGCGGUGAAAUGCGUUGAUAUCCGAAGGAACACCGGUGGCGAAAGCGGCUCACUGGGUCUUUUCUGACGCUGAUGCACGAAAGCUAGGGGAAGGCAAACG